rnacentral:rRNA from 1 species
AUAUCAAUAAGCGGAGGAAAAGAAACCAACAGGGAUUGCCCUAGUAACGGCGAGUGAAGCGGCAACAGCUCAAAUUUGAAAUCUGAUCUUUUGAUCCGAGUUGUAAUUUGGAGAAGGUGCUUCGGAAGAGAUGAUAGUUCAAGUCCCUUGGAACAGGGCGUCGCAGAGGGUGAGAAUCCCGUAUGUGACUAAUCAUUGAUUCCAUGUGGUAGCCCUUUCGACGAGUCGAGUUGUUUGGGAAUGCAGCUCUAAAUGGGUGGUAAAUUUCAUCUAAAGCUAAAUACCUGCCAGAGACCGAUAGCGCACAAGUAGAGUGAUCGAAAGAUGAAAAGCACUUUGAAAAGAGAGUCAAACAGUACGUGAAAUUGUUGAAAGGGAAGCGCUUGCAAUCAGACUCGUUUGCAGAAGCUCAGCCUUCCUUCGGGAUGGUGUAUUCUUUUGCGGACGGGCCAGCAUCAGUUUCGGCGGCUAGAUAAAGGUUCUGGGAACGUAGCUCUCCUCGGAGAGUGUUAUAGCCCGGAGCGUAAUGCAGUCAGCCGAGACUGAGGUCCGCGCUUUUGCUAGGAUGCUGGCGUAAUGGUUGCUAGCGACCCGUCUUGAAACACGGACCGGUAUGUCAUGGCAUUUUUUUUAAUAUUACGCUUUACGAUUCAAAUUGAGACUAAUUUAUUUGCAGAGGAGUCGACCAAUGACGCGAGUGUUUGGGUGUAAAACCCACACGCGUAAUGAAAGUGAACGUAGGUGGGAGCCUUCGGGCGCACCAUCGACCGAUCUUGAUGUCUUCGGAUGGAUUUGAGUAUGAGCAUUGUUGGUCGGACCCGAAAGGUAAAAAGCACCCGUYCCAAUUAAAACUACCUUAUUSUAACCUAAUUUAGAUGGUGAACUAUGCGUGGAUAGGGUGAAGCCAGAGGAAACUCUGGUGGAGGCUCGCAGCGGUUCUGACGUGCAAAUCGAUCGUCAAAUCUGCGCAUAGGGGCGAAAGACUAAUCGAACCGUCUAGUACCUGGUUCCUGCCGAAGUUUCCCU